CCGGGGCCCGGGCGAGCGGCGGCCGGAGGCGCUGGACGGGGCGGCGGGGGGCGGCGGGCAGCGGCGCGGCGCGGCGGGGGGAGGUCUGCGCGCCGGGGCUCGGCGGUACCUCUCGCUGCCCCCGCCCUCCCGCGGCGCUUCGCCCGGCCGGGCAAGCUGUUGCUCUGGCUCCCGGCGGCGGCGGUCGGCGCGGAGAGCGCCCCGGGGGGACGCGAGCUCGCUGCUCCCCGCGGUGCGGGCGGGACGCGGCCCCGCGGGCUAGGCGCGCUCCCGGCAGAUGUCCAUGUAAGUCCGCGAAAGUAACAAAAGUGCUGCGAGUCUCAGCGGCGGCGGCAGCCCGCGGGCAGCCCGGCGGGCGGCGGGGAGCCCGGGCCGGCCCCGGGCGGGGGCACGGCGGGCCAGCAGACGGGAAGUCCCCCGGCGUUGCACACUCCCACACGCCGCUCCGGCGUCUCCUCCGCGCCCCGGCAGCUGCGCGGCCGCGGCCCCGCGCGUCGGCGAGCGAGUAAAUCCCAGCUGCGGCGGCGGCGGCGCGGAGCAGCUCUCCCUGCCGGGCUCGGCAGCUCCCGCCGGGAGCCCGGCGGCCCCCGCCGCAGCGAGGUACGGUCGGGGAGCAGCGGUGCCGACGCUCGGUGCGCGCAGGAAAACGAAGCUCCCCCUGCUGCGGACGGGCGUUGAACUCCCCGGCGCAUCAAGGAAGCCAUGCAUCUUCUAUUUAAAAAUUUGGCAAUUUGGUGCAGUCAUGUGCUGGCUAUUCAACGACUGCAAGUGAGACUUGAAAUUUUGAAAAGAAAUGCUCAGUCCUGUAAUUUGGGGCCUCAAGCAACUGGGGAGUAACAUAUUUUCUAGCGGGGGAAGGGUACACUUAUCUUUAUUGACAAGAAGCGUAUCUCCUGAGCCCAGAGAGGCAUGUUGAUUGACAGUUCCUCUUCACCUGCCCACUGAUGAUGAUUCAUAUCAAGAAGGAAGAGGAAGUAAGCGGGGAAAAAAAAUAAAGGAGGUGCAAGAUCAGUAGCUCUGUGAGUUCCUCCGAGCUACAUCAGAAAAGAUGAACUGUUGCAGUAGUUACCAUGGCUGCGCUGCUCUGUUUACUUCAUGCAAGAUCCAAUACCACCUAACUUUUCUAUAUUGUUUCAAUUGCUUCCCAUCGGAGAACAUUUGCAGACUUUCGCUUUUUUGGAGCCAAAUUCUGUCCCUGGCUUUAAGUCUUCUCAAACUGAUUACUGCAAUGUUUUAUUCAUUACCAUGCGCACUGUUUAAAAGCGGCUGAAAGGAAGGCAGCUGAGCAGUGGAGUUCUGGCUGGUGUUGGGCUGUGGAAACACACAAUCCUACGCGCUUUCCAGGCUAUGCUUAUCAGCUGUCACACUAGUGCAUUCGAUCAGAUGAUUGCAGUUACUUAAAAAUGAAAUUGGUGGUUUACAGAUUUCAUGAAAGACGUGUAACUGCAGGCAGAAGCAGAUGAAUCCUGGGUGAGUGGAACGGGAGCAGACGAUACAUGAAGGACAAGGUCCUAAAUGAUCCUUCUGAAGCAGAGAGAAGCCCCAAGGAGCUUCCCCUUCCUCCUCCCAGCUCUGCUCCCCUGUUCAGAGGGCAGACGCUUUCUGAGCAGGCAGAAAAGCAAAGAUGACACCUUCAGGAAAUAUCAAGAAGGGCGCAUAAUUAGAAGUGUCCUACCCAGCCCUCUGAUUUGCAGUAAUUUUGUGAACAGCAUUCAGCAUCUAUCAUGUUGCCCUUUAGUAUAUUCAGGAUUCUGCCUGACUCUUUCAGAGAACUUCAGGUGGGUGACAUUGUAAUGUGGUACUCAUUUUAGGCACGAUGUCCCUUUUUAAAGGCAUGCAGAGCACAACAUGAUUAGACUUGGUAUUUUACUACAACAGGAGAUCAUCAGGUUUAUCAGGAGGCAGGAUUAAUAUAGAUAUUUGCCUGAGAAAAGCUUUUCUCUGCAAUAUAUUUGUUAAUGAUUUAUGGUGUAGCUUUUACAAAAUUUUAAACAAGAGAAAGGUUUGCAUUGUUAUUAAAUAAUUUUUCUACUGGGGCUGUAAACCUUUAGUUAUAUUGGGAAAACAUAUGUUGAGCUAGUUAUUUAGCAUACAGAGAAGUGCAGUCUUUGUGAUUUUUGUUUUGAUUUUUAUGAAAACUCUCUUAAUUUUGACUUCUAUAAUUAAUUGCUCCAUACUUCCCUAAGCAGUAUAACACAUUGCAGGGAAGUCCCCAGAUAUGCAACACCUCCUCUUUCCUAAGCUAGUUGGGGGACAGCGUAUAAAAGGAACUAAAAGCCUUGGCCAGUGUUGUCUUAGGACCUCAGCUUUAGAGUGAAAGUACUUUCGUGGAAUGAGGUAACAGGAAAAACUAAUUCUUGGAUUCAGAAAAGGGAAGACAUCAUGAGGAACUGUCAGAAGAUUGUUUUCUAAUUUAACUGUUGCUGAUUUAUCUUGAAUGUGCAGUGUGUGGAGGAUACUACAGAAAAUCCAUUAGUUUGGCAGGAGGUCAAUAUUCUCUUAUCAGCAUAGCCAACAGUCUUCCUGAGCAAAUCUGGGGAAAUUAUGUGACAUGUCUAAGCCCCAGUUUUCAAACUCUAAAAUCAGAGUAAUAAUCUGUUGCUUUGUGAUGGUGUUAUAGUGAUAGCCCCCUCUACUUUUUGAAGGCUGGUGCUAUGCUGCUUAAGAUGAUUUAAAAGCCCAUAAUUAAACAUGUCUGCUCUUCAUUAAUAUUGAAAAGCAGUGCGGUUUGCUUAUCACCUCCGUCGGUUGCCAUAGAUGGAGCAGAACUGGCUCGCAGUUGGGAGAACUCUGACACGAUCGGAUGUUGCUUAGUAAGUGAGAUGUUUUGUACAUUUGUCACUGUGUAAAAUACAUCUAUUUUAAUGCAUGACUAAGAGUAGAAAAUUUAAACCACAAGGGUAAAUCAAUUAAAUGCUCUUAUUCUUGUACCGGGUAUGCAUUUCUAAUGGAAGGUUUUGUAGUGUGUUGUUACAUUGCUCCACCGUACUGACAAACGUGUUAUUAUACACAACCAAUCUAAAUCUGACUCAGUUACCCUGCAGAUAAUUUUAAAACACCUUAAAAAUUUUAAUCAUGAAGCACUAGAAUACCACUUUUAAAAAACCCUAAUUUAAACAUACAAGUGGAAAUAGCAAGAUGACAAGGAGUGGAUUAAACACUUACGGAAACCAA